CUCAUACUGCAGGCCCACACAGGUCUUCUCAGAUUCUCUGCAUGUGCUCUUUCAGAUCUUGAUUUCUCCUUCACCAGUGUGGACUGGAAGUAGUCUGGUGGUGUAGAGAAGAUGCCAGAUUUAGAAGCUGCUGUCAGAAGGCAAUGCCUCUGGGAUGCAAAGUUUCUUGUAGGUUUAGGACUAUCACACAUUAAAUAUUUUAUUCAAUAUGAACCUGGUCCUGGACUUCAAGGAGGUUACAACCUAUUUGGGAGAGAAUAAAGUUCCAGCAAUGCAAAUUAAGGAUCCAACAAGGUAAAUUAAAAAUUCAGUGUAAGGAAGAACAUCCCAACAUUGCAUGGUGAUUGCCA
rnacentral:lncRNA from 1 species